rnacentral:rRNA from 1 species
AUUGAACGCUGGCGGCAGGCCUAACACAUGCAAGUCGAGCGGGGUUUUCGGACCUAGCGGCGGACGGGUGAGUAAUGCGUAGGAAGCUACCCGAUAGAGGGGGAUACCAGUUGGAAACGACUGUUAAUACCGCAUAAUGUCUACGGACCAAAGUGUGGGACCUUCGGGCCACAUGCUAUCGGAUGCGCCUACGUGGGAUUAGCUAGUUGGUGAGGUAAUGGCUCACCAAGGCGACGAUCCCUAGCUGGUUUGAGAGGAUGAUCAGCCACACUGGAACUGGGACACGGUCCAGACGCCUACGGGAGGCAGCAGUGGGGAAUAUUGGACAAUGGGCGCAAGCCUGAUCCAGCCAUGCCGCGUGUGUGAAGAAGGCCUUCGGGUUGUAAAGCACUUUCAGUAGGGAGGAAGCGUUGUGUGUUAAUAGUACACAGCGUUGACGUUACCUACAGAAGAAGCACCGGCUAACUCUGUGCCAGCCGCCGCCGUAAGAC